rnacentral:rRNA from 1 species
GAUGAACGCUAGCGGCAGGCUUAAUACAUGCAAGUCGAGGGGCAGCAUGAUUGUAGCAAUACAAUUGAUGGCGACCGGCAAACAGGUGCGGAACACGUACACAACCUCCCACUAAGUGGGGAAUAGCACAGAGAAAUUUGGAUUAAUACCCCGUAACAUAACGAUGUGGCAUCACAUUGUUAUUAUAGAUUUUUCGCUCAUUGAUGGGGGUGCGGCUGAUUAGAUAGUUGGCGGGGUAACGGCCCACCACAUCUACGAUCAGUAGCUGAUGUGAAAGCAUGAUCAGCCACACGGGCACUGAGACACGGGCCCGACUCCGACGGGAGGCAGCAUUAAGGAAUAUUGUACAAUUGACGCAAGUCUAAUCCAGCCAUGCCGAGUAAAGGAUUAAGGUCCUCUGGAUUGUAAACUUCUUUUGUAAGGGACGAAAAAAGGCUUUUCUAAGUCGUCAGACGGUACCUUAUGAAUAAGCACCGGCUAACUCCGUGCCAGCCGCCGCCGUAAAAC